rnacentral:rRNA from 1 species
AGACCCGAAACCCGGUGAUCUAGCCAUGGGCAGGUUGAAGGUUGGGUAACACUAACUGGAGGACCGAACCGACUAAUGUUGAAAAAUUAGCGGAUGACCUGUGGCUGGGGGUGAAAGGCCAAUCAAACCGGGAGAUAGCUGGUUCUCCCCGAAAGCUAUUUAGGUAGCGCCUCGUGAAUUCAUCUCCGGGGGUAGAGCACUGUUUCGGCUAGGGGGCCAUCCCGGCUUACCAACCCGAUGCAAACUGCGAAUACCGGAGAAUGUUAUCACGGGAGACACACGGCGGGUGCUAACGUCCGUCGUGAAGAGGGAAACAACCCAGACCGCCAGCUAAGGUCCCAAAGUCAUGGUUAAGUGGGAAACGAUGUGGGAAGGCCCAGACAGCCAGGAUGUUGGCUUAGAAGCAGCCAUCAUUUAAAGAAAGCGUAAUAGCUCACUGGUCGAGUCGGCCUGCGCGGAAGAUGUAACGGGGCUAAACCAUGCACCGAAGCUGCGGCAGCGACACUCAGGUGUUGUUGGGUAGGGGAGCGUUCUGUAAGUCUGCGAAGGUGGCCUGUGAGGGUUGCUGGAGGUAUCAGA